rnacentral:rRNA from 1 species
GUAACACGUAUCCAACCUGCCGAUGACUCGGGGAUAGCCUUUCGAAAGAAAGAUUAAUACCCGAUGGCAUAGUUCUUCCGCAUGGUAGAACUAUUAAAGGAAUUUCGGUUCAUCGAUGGGGAUGCGUUCCAUUAGGUUGUUGGCGGGGUAACGGCCCACCAAGCCUUCGAUGGAUAGGGGUUCUGAGAGGAAGGUCCCCCACAUUGGAACUGAGACACGGUCCAAACUCCUACGGGAGGCAGCAUG